GACGAACGCUGGCGGCGUGCUUAACACAUGCAAGUCGAACGGAAAGGCCCUGCUUUUGUGGGGUGCUCGAGUGGCGAACGGGUGAGUAACACGUGAGUAACCUGCCCUUGACUUUGGGAUAACUUCAGGAAACUGGGGCUAAUACCGGCUAGGAGCUCCUGCUGCAUGGUGGGGGUUGGAAAGUUUCGGCGGUUGGGGAUGGACUCGCGGCUUAUCAGCUUGUUGGUGGGGUAGUGGCUUACCACGGCUUUGACGGGUAGCCGGCCUGAGAGGGUGACCGGCCACAUUGGGACUGAGAUACGGCGCAGACGCCUACGGGAGGCAGCAGUGGGGAAUAUUGCACAAUGGGCGGAAGCCUGAUGCAGCAACGCCGCGUGCGGGAUGACGGCCUUCGGGUUGUAAACCGCUUUCGCCUGUGACGAAGCGUGAGUGACGGUAAUGGGUAAAGAAGCACCGGCUAACUACGUG
rnacentral:rRNA from 1 species